rnacentral:rRNA from 1 species
UAUUGCACAAUGGGGGAAACCCUGAUGCAGCGACGCCGCGUGAGCGAUGAAGUAUUUCGGUAUGUAAAGCUCUAUCAGCAGGGAAGAAAGAAAUGACGGUACCUGACUAAGAAGCCCCGGCUAACUACGUGCCAGCAGCCGCGGUAAUACGUAGGGGGCAAGCGUUAUCCGGAUUUACUGGGUGUAAAGGGAGCGUAGACGGACUUGCAAGUCUGAUGUGAAAAUCCGGGGCCCAACCCCGGAACUGCAUUGGAAACGGUAUAUCUAGAGUGUCGGAGAGGCAAGUGGAAUUCCUGGUGUAGCGGUGAAAUGCGUAGAUAUCAGGAGGGACACCAGUGGCGAAGGCGGCUUGCUGGACGAUGACUGACGUUGAGGCUCGAAAGCGUGGGGAGCAAACAG